CUAAUACAUGCAAGUCGAACGGUCUUUUCUAUGGAAGCUUGCUUCCACUGAGAAGAUAGUGGCGAACGGGUGAGUAACACGUGGGUAACCUGCCCAUAAGAGGGGGAUAACAUCCGGAAACGGGUGCUAAUACCGCAUAGGUUUCUUGGUCGCAUGAUCGAGAAAGGAAAGACGGCCUUUGNNNNNNNNNNCUGGGUAGCUAUGUGUGGACGGGAUAAACGCUGAAAGCAUCUAAGCGUGAAGCCCCCCUCAAGAUGAGAUUUCCCAUCACUUCAAGUGAGUAAGACCCCUGAGAGAUGAUCAGGUAGAUAGGUUGGGAGUGGAAGUAC
rnacentral:ncRNA from 1 species